rnacentral:rRNA from 1 species
CUGGGUGGAUUAGUGGCGAACGGGUGAGUAACACGUGAGCAACGUGCCCAUAACUCUGGGAUAACCUCCGGAAACGGUGGCUAAUACUGGAUAUCUAACAUGAUCGCAUGGUCUGUGUUUGGAAAGAUUUUUUGGUUAUGGAUCGGCUCACGGCCUAUCAGCUUGUUGGUGAGGUAAUGGCUCACCAAGGCGACGACGGGUAGCCGGCCUGAGAGGGUGACCGGCCACACUGGGACUGAGACACGGCCCAGACUCCUACGGGAGGCAGCAGUGGGGAAUAUUGCACAAUGGGCGAAAGCCUGAUGCAGCAACGCCGCGUGAGGGAUGACGGCCUUCGGGUUGUAAACCUCUUUUAGUAGGGAAGAAGCGAAAGUGACGGUACCUGCAGAAAAAGCACCGGCUAACUACGUGCCAGCAGCCGCGGUAAUACGUAGGGUGCAAGCGUUGUCCGGAAUUAUUGGGCGUAAAGAGCUCGUAGGCGGUUUGUCGCGUCUGCUGUGAAAUCCCGAGGCUCAACCUCGGGUCUGCAGUGGGUACGGGCAGACUAGAGU